AGACCCGAAACCCGGUGAUCUAGCCAUGGGCAGGUUGAAGGUUGGGUAACACUAACUGGAGGACCGAACCGACUAAUGUUGAAAAAUUAGCGGAUGACCUGUGGCUGGGGGUGAAAGGCCAAUCAAACCGGGAGAUAGCUGGUUCUCCCCGAAAGCUAUUUAGGUAGCGCCUCGUGAAUUCAUCUCCGGGGGUAGAGCACUGUUUCGGCUAGGGGGCCAUCCCGGCUUACCAACCCGAUGCAAACUGCGAAUACCGGAGAAUGUUAUCACGGGAGACACACGGCGGGUGCUAACGUCCGUCGUGAAGAGGGAAACAACCCAGACCGCCAGCUAAGGUCCCAAAGUCAUGGUUAAGUGGGAAACGAUGUGGGAAGGCCCAGACAGCCAGGAUGUUGGCUUAGAAGCAGCCAUCAUUUAAAGAAAGCGUAAUAGCUCACUGGUCGAGUCGGCCUGCGCGGAAGAUGUAACGGGGCUAAACCAUGCACCGAAGCUGCGGCAGCGACACUGUGUGUUGUUGGGUAGGGGAGCGUUCUGUAAGCCUGUGAAGGUGGCCUGUGAGGGUUGCUGGAGGUAUCAGAAGUGCGAAUGC
rnacentral:rRNA from 1 species